rnacentral:rRNA from 1 species
GAGGGGCAGCGGGAUUGAAGCUUGCUUCAAUUGCCGGCGACCGGCGCACGGGUGAGUAACGCGUAUCCAACCUUCCGUACACUCAGGGAUAGCCUUUCGAAAGAAAGAUUAAUACCUGAUGGUAUGAUGAGAUUGCAUGAUAGCAUCAUUAAAGAUUUAUCGGUGUACGAUGGGGAUGCGUUCCAUUAGGUAGUAGGCGGGGUAACGGCCCACCUAGCCAACGAUGGAUAGGGGUUCUGAGAGGAAGGUCCCCCACAUUGGAACUGAGACACGGUCCAAACUCCUACGGGAGGCAGCAGUGAGGAAUAUUGGUCAAUGGACGAGAGUCUGAACCAGCCAAGUAGCGUGAAGGAUGAAGGUCCUACGGAUUGUAAACUUCUUUUAUAAGGGAAUAAACCCUCCCACGUGUGGGAGCUUGUAUGUACCUUAUGAAUAAGCAUCGGCUAACUCCGUGCCAGCAGCCGCGGUAAUACGGAGGAUGCGAGCGUUAUCCGGAUUUAUUGGGUUUAAAGGGAGCGCAGACGGGUCGUUAAGUCAGCUGUGAAAGUUUGGGGCUCAACCUUAAAAUUGCAGUUGAUACUGGCGUCCUUGAGUGCGGUUGAGGUGUGCGGAAUUCGUGGUGUAGCGGUGAAAUGCUUAGAUAUCACGAAGAACUCCGAUUGCGAAGGCAGCACACUAAUCCGUAACUGACGUUCAUGCUCGAAAGUGUGGGUAUCAAACAGGAUUAGAUACCCUGGUAGUCCACACGGUAAACGAUGGAUACUCGCUGUUGGCGAUAUACUGUCAGCGGCUUAGCGAAAGCGUUAAGUAUCCCACCUGGGGAGUACGCCGGCAACGGUGCAACUCAAAUGAAUUGACGG